UGGGGAAUUUUGGACAAUGGGGGAAACCCUGAUCCAGCCAUCCCGCGUGUGCGAUGAAGGCCUUCGGGUUGUAAAGCACUUUUGGCAGGAAAGAAACGUCAUGGGUUAAUACCCCGUGAAACUGACGGUACCUGCAGAAUAAGCACCGGCUAACUACGUGCCAGCAGCCGCGGUAAUACGUAGGGUGCAAGCGUUAAUCGGAAUUACUGGGCGUAAAGCGUGCGCAGGCGGUUCGGAAAGAAAGAUGUGAAAUCCCAGAGCUCAACUUUGGAACUGCAUUUUUAACUACCGGGCUAGAGUGUGUCAGAGGGAGGUGGAAUUCCGCGUGUAGCAGUGAAAUGCGUAGAUAUGCGGAGGAACACCGAUGGCGAAGGCAGCCUCCUGGGAUAACACUGACGCUCAUGCACGAAAGCGUGGGGAGCAAACAGG
rnacentral:rRNA from 1 species